CCUCGGGCAAACCGUGGGCCGCCACGCAGCCGGGGUCCUUCUGGAUCCACUCGUAAGGCACGGGGACCAGGCUGCUCUUCCCCACGGCCUCGCCUGCGUGUCACACAGAGCAGCGUGAGCACUUUGGGAGGGUUAAGCUGAGGAUGCGUCAGGUCCCCGUCCUUACUGUAGAGUACAGUGAAGACCUCCUCCACCAUCUUCCUCAGAACAAAGAUGUUGGACUGGGCGUCCGACGGCGCUCUGGAUUUCCCGAGCUCGCCGUCCUCACUGGGUUUGCUGAGCUCUCCUUCCUGGUCUUUGCGAACUGGAACUCGCUUCACGGGAGGCCUCGACCCCCUCGACCCCUCGACCCCUCGGACUUUCAAGGUCAACAGGAAACGAAGGGGUACACUGGAAUCUGUGUGUGUGUGUGUGUGUGUGUGAGAAUGAGAGGCCAAUUGUGAUUUGAGUGACAAGAAGGAACUGAAACAUCAAAUAAAGCUCUUUAAAAAAAUUGAAAAAAGCCUCCGACAAGACUGCUCGACACCGGCAGGAGAGCAGGACUCACGGCAGAACUUGUAGAAGUCGGUCUGGAUCUCCCUCCUGGAGUUGAG